rnacentral:rRNA from 1 species
GUGGGGAAUUUUGGACAAUGGGCGAAAGCCUGAUCCAGCAAUGCCGCGUGCAGGAUGAAGGCCCUCGGGUUGUAAACUGCUUUUGUACGGAACGAAACGGUCCGGGUUAAUACCCUGGGCUAAUGACGGUACCGUAAGAAUAAGCACCGGCUAACUACGUGCCAGCAGCCGCGGUAAUACGUAGGGUGCAAGCGUUAAUCGGAAUUACUGGGCGUAAAGCGUGCGCAGGCGGUUUUGUAAGACAGAGGUGAAAUCCCCGGGCUCAACCUGGGAACUGCCUUUGUGACUGCAAAGCUGGAGUGCGGCAGAGGGGGAUGGAAUUCCGCGUGUAGCAGUGAAAUGCGUAGAUAUGCGGAGGAACACCGAUGGCGAAGGCAAUCCCCUGGGCCUGCACUGACGCUCAUGCACGAAAGCGUGGGGAGCAAACAGGAUUAGAAACCCGUGUAGUCC